UACGUAGGGUGCAAGCGUUAAUCGGAAUUACUGGGCGUAAAGCGUGCGCAGGCGGUUGUGCAAGACAGAUGUGAAAUCCCCGGGCUCAACCUGGGAAUUGCAUUUGUGACUGCACGGCUAGAGUGUGUCAGAGGGGGGUAGAAUUCCACGUGUAGCAGUGAAAUGCGUAGAGAUGUGGAGGAAUACCGAUGGCGAAGGCAGCCCCCUGGGACAACACUGACGCUCAUGCACGAAAGCGUGGGGAGCAAACAGG
rnacentral:rRNA from 1 species